rnacentral:piRNA from 1 species
UGAAAUCUUAUCAGAUUAAUA